AGCUUUGCGCAGUGGCAGUAUCAUAGCCAAUGAGGUUUAUCCGAGGCAUGAUUAUUGCUAGUUGAAAACUUUCCCAAUACCCCGCCAUGAAGACUUGAAAUAUAGUUGACAUUGGCAAUUUUGAGAGUCUCUACGGAGA
rnacentral:snRNA from 1 species